GCGAAGUGUAAACAUCGUAAGAGCAGCUGAUGGAAAUUUAGGAAAUUGAAACCAAGCACCAAAAGUCUUUUAGGGGCAACGAAUCAUCAACAUGCCUCCGACAUUAUCAGAACAAGUUGCUUCAUCUAAUGUUUUAUUGGAUGAACAACUGCAGAAGACAAUGAAGGAAAGGAUAAUGAUUUUUGAUGGUGGGAUGGGAACCAUGAUCCAGCAAUACCGCUUUGAGGAAGAAGAUUUUAGAGGUUCAGAAUUCCAAAACCACCCUAAAUCUUUGAAAGGAAACAAUGACAUAUUGUGUCUUACAAAGGCAGAUAUAAUCUAUCAGAUACACAAAGAUUACUUGGAGGCAGGAGCUGACUUUGUAGAGACAAACACAUUCAGUGGUACAAGGAUCGCCCAGGCUGACUAUGGCACUGAGAACCUGACGUUUCGCUUGAACUGUGAAGCAGCUAAGAUUGCCAAAAGGGCAUGCACUGAUGUUGCCAAAAUUACAGGUGUGCCCAGGUAUGUGGCAGGGGCAAUGGGACCAACUAACCGGACUCUGUCAAUCUCUCCGUCUGUGGAACAGCCGGAGUUCCGUAACAUAACAUUUGAUGAGCUGGUGUCAGCCUACACCGAACAGGCCCGUGGUUUGUUGGAAGGAGGAGCUGAUGUUUUGCUUGUGGAAACGAUAUUUGACACAGCUAAUUCUAAGGCGGCUUUAUUUGCUAUUGAAGAACUGUUUGAGAAAGAGAACAGAAGUUGCCCAAUAUUUGUCUCGGGUACAAUUGUAGACAAAAGUGGACGUACAUUAUCAGGACAGACAACCGAGGCAUUCAUCAUCAGUGUGUCACAGGCCAAACCCAUGUGUCUGGGCCUCAACUGUGCCCUUGGAGCCAUGGAGAUGAGACCGUUUAUAGAGGCAGUCAGCAAAAACACAGAGGCUUAUGUUAUAUGUUACCCUAAUGCAGGACUGCCAAAUACAUUUGGUGACUAUGACGAAACCCCAGAGAUGAUGGCGAGUCAGUUGAAGGAGUUUGCCAAAGAUGGUCUACUGAACAUAGUCGGGGGGUGUUGUGGUACUACCCCGACACACAUAAAGGUGAUUGCUGAAGAGGUAGGGAAGUACAAGCCCAGAGUUCCUCCUGAGGGUCUGCGGGAAGAAUACAUGUUAUUGUCAGGAUUAGAGCCAGCUUAUAUUGGACCUUAUACCAACUUCGUCAACGUUGGAGAGAGGUGCAAUGUGGCAGGAUCACGCAAGUUUGCCAAGCUCAUUAAAAAUGGAGAUUUCGAAGAGGCCCUGUCAGUAGCAAAGAUGCAGGUAGAGAAUGGUGCACAGAUUCUGGACAUUAAUAUGGACGAGGGCAUGCUGGACGGGUGUGCCGCUAUGACUAAGUUUGUUAAUCUUAUAGCCUCCGAACCUGAUAUAUCAAAGGUUCCUCUAUGUAUAGACUCAUCCAACUUUGCUGUGGUGGAGGCCGGACUGAAGUGUGCUCAGGGGAAGUGUAUUGUUAACAGUAUCAGUCUAAAGGAGGGAGAGCAGGACUUCAUUGAAAAGGCAAAGAAGGUGAAGCGGUAUGGGGCAGUCGUCGUAAUCAUGGCCUUUGAUGAGGAGGGGCAGGCCACAGAUUCUCAGCGGAAGUUUCAGAUCUGUAAGAGGUCAUAUGAUAUUUUAGUCAACAAGGUGAAAUUCAACCGGAAUGACAUCAUCUUUGAUCCCAAUAUACUCACUAUAGCUACAGGCAUAGAGGAACACAACACCUACGGCAUCAGUUUUAUAGAGGCCACUGAGGCAAUAAAGAAACAUUUACCAGGAGCCCGUGUGAGUGGUGGAGUUUCCAACUUCUCUUUCUCUUUCCGUGGCAUGGAGGCUGUGAGGGAAGCCAUGCAUAGUGUGUUUCUUUACCAUGCAAUUAAGAGAGGGAUGGACAUGGGGAUUGUAAAUGCUGGUUCUCUACCUGUGUACGAUGACAUCAAUAAAGAACUUCUGGAUAUGUGUGAAAAUCUGCUGUGGAACAAAGACCCAGAUGGGACUGAAAAACUGCUGACAUAUGCUCAAAGUAUGAGUACAGAUGCUAAGAAGGGAGUGGUCAGUGAUGAAUGGAGGUCCAAUUCUGUGGAGGAAAGACUAUCUUUCUCCCUCAUAAAGGGUAUAGACAAGUAUGUGGUGGAUGAUACUGAGGAAGCGAGAAGGAACAGUGAACUUUAUCCCAGGCCACUCAAUGUGAUCGAAGGCCCACUCAUGAAGGGUAUGAGUGUGGUAGGAGACCUGUUUGGGGCGGGGAAGAUGUUCUUACCACAGGUGAUUAAGUCUGCUCGUGUGAUGAAGAAGGCAGUGGCUCACCUUAUUCCCUUCAUGGAGAAGGAGCGUCAGGAAAACCUGUCCACAAUGGGAGGGGUCGAUAACAUGGCUGAUGCCUAUGCUGGAACAGUUGUCUUGGCGACAGUGAAAGGAGAUGUCCAUGACAUUGGUAAAAACAUUGUAGGUGUUGUACUUGGCUGUAACAACUACAGAGUGAUUGAUCUUGGAGUGAUGACACCUUGUGAGAAGAUUCUGGAAACCGCAAUGAAAGAGAAAGCAGACAUCAUAGGUCUGUCCGGCUUGAUCACACCAUCCUUGGACGAGAUGAUAUAUGUUGCCAAGGAGAUGGAUAGGAUCGGUAUGCAACUUCCAUUACUGAUUGGUGGUGCCACCACUUCAAGAACUCACACUGCAGUGAAAAUUGCUCCCAGAUACAAAUCUCCAACGAUCCAUGUUCUUGAUGCUUCUAAGAGUGUUGUGGUGUGUUCGUCUCUGCUGGACAAUACUAACAAGGAGGAUUUUGUUGAGGAGGUCAGCGAGGAAUACGAGGAGAUACGAGAGGAGCAUUAUGAAUCACUUAAGGAGAGAAAGUAUCUCAGUCUGGAGCAGGCAAGAGCAAAGAAGCUGGAGAUUGAUUGGAAUGUUGAGGCUCCUCCGGUCCCCCCAAAUAUUAUUGGCAUUAAAAUGUUUGAGAACUAUGACCUAUCUCGACUCAUCCCCUACAUCGACUGGAAGCCCUUUUUUGAUGUCUGGCAGCUCCGAGGGAAAUAUCCAAACAGAGGUUAUCCCAAAAUCUUCAAAGACAAAACUGUAGGAGAGGAAGCUAAGAAAGUAUACAAUGAUGCCCAGGCCAUGCUGAAGAACAUUUCUGUAAAUGGGAUGCUGAAGGCUCAUGGAAUGGUGGCAUUCUAUCCUGCAAAUAGUGUCGGUGAUGAUAUUGAGGUGUACAAUGAAAAUGGAGAGGUGAUCGGGGUACUGCAUGGCUUACGACAGCAGGCGAUGAAGGAAGCCAUGGAUAAGAGCCCAUACCUGUGCCUUUCUGACUUUGUGGCAUCCAAAGAGUCCGGAGUGACAGACUAUAUAGGGUUGUUUGCAACGACAGCAGGAAUUGGCGUGGACAAAAUGUGCAAGGAAUUUGAAGAGAAGUUUGACGAUUACAACAUCAUCAUGGUAAAGGCCAUAGCUGACAGGCUAGCAGAGGCCUUUGCUGAGGAGCUCCACGAGAGGACGAGGAAAGAGUUUUGGGCCUAUAGUCCUGAUGAAGAGCUUGAUGCUCAGGGUCUUCACAAAAUCAAAUACCAGGGAAUCCGUCCAGCUCCUGGCUAUCCUAGCCAGCCAGAUCACACAGAGAAAAAAAUCAUGUGGAAUCUACUUCCUGCCAAUAAGGUGGGUAUCACCCUCACAGAAUCCUUAGCAAUGGAACCAGCAGCAUCUGUAUCUGGACUAUAUUUUGGCAACCGCAAAGCUUCCUACUUUGCCACUGGAAAACUUCAGAAAGACCAAAUAAUGGAUUAUUCUAACAGGAAGAAUAUGCCAGUAUCUGAUGUUGAGAAGUGGCUUGGGUCUGUGUUAGCUUACGACCCAGAAUAAGAUUGAUCUGAAAUAACAAUUACUGCCAAAUAUUUUAAUGUAUUUGAAGAUCUUUAAUGCAUGACACCAAGUGGUAUUUCAAAUUUGGAACAUUCCUUGUGGGAUGAUUUUUGACAUUUUGGUUUUGGUGUUAAGGUUGUGCUGUAUUAUUCCAGUAUGAAAUGUUAAUGAAUUUUUAAAUCCACCUGAACCAUAAGUAAUCAGAUAAUAUUAUUAACAACUGCACGAAGUGCAGAACUGGUACAUGUAGGUUCCAUUUCAGGUUUCUGGGGAAACAUUUAUAAUUUAUUGUUGUUUAUCUUCAACUGAACAGAUUAAUAGUGUAAUUGCAAAAUAUAACUAUGACAUUUACUUUAAAUAAUACGCUUAAAAACCAUGACCAUGAGAACCAUGAGAGUAAUUUUCCUCAUUAUACAGGAUAAUCUAUAUACGAAGAUGUUGGUACUGUGGUGUAUCAUUAUUUUGUACCAGGGUGAUUUUCCACUCCAAGCUGUAGUGUGAGAUAUUGGCAAUAGAAAUACCUGUAGUGAAAUACAUCAUCAUGUUGAUUCGGGGGAUUUUACAAAUAUCCUAAAGUUUUACUUGUCAAACUAUGCUCUUAAUGUAAUUUAUUUAAAAGACUAUUUAGAUACAAUCACAUUUCUCUAUUAAAAAUUACCUGUGAGUUUUUUUUUAGGUAAAAUGAGGUGGUUGAUCAUUAUUUCCAUGAAUACAUGUAAUUAUGAGAUUAUAGGUAAAAUAUUGAUCUCAAAUGAACAAGGUUUAGAUAACUAUGGCAUGACUGCUACAUACAUACAUAUAUAUUAACUGAUACUGUGUGCUUACAUGUAGAAUGUUUGAUACUUUGCUUAAUCCAGAAGAGCAAAUAAGUGUUUUUAUAUAAAAUCAAAAUUCUUUUACUUGACGUGUGUUAUAUAUAUUUUCUGAACUGCUUCAGUUUUUAAUAUACUUUUAAUAUAUGUUGACUUACUGAUUUUUUUUUUUUUUUUUUUAAUUUUUGAAACAAGUUUUUUAUACAUUGUAUAUCUUUUUUUUCUCAUAUAAAUGUGAUGUUCAAGCAUAAUAUACUGUACAUACAGAUCUGAAUGAAAUAUCAGUAUAAUUAUUUGUCAUAAGUCUGAAGCGGAAUCUUUCAACAGGUUGUUUUUUGUGUAUUGAGAACUGUUAUUAAUACGAUAUACCUGUUUGUACCCAAUGUAUAGGACUUAUACUGGUAGAUUUUACUGUACACUUAUUUUGGGGAAAAAUGUCAGGAACAUUCUAUGUAUUAGAAUCUGAUGACUGUUUAAAACUGGCAAUCAUGCAUAACAAAUAUUGAAUUAAGUACUAUGUAUUAAAAGGGGAAGGUCCCUUGGUUUUAUGACAUUAAAAUAUGUUUAAACUAAAUUAAGUAUUUAGAAAAUAGUAUUAUUGUGAAAUGAUGAAUAUGAGAGGAACUUUCUCGGGAGCUUUAAAAAAUCUAGAAUUAUUUUUAAACAGUCCUUACAUGAGAAGUAUGUGUUUUUUAUGAGUAUAUGUUGUUGUUUGGUUUGAGUGUUGAUGUUCGUUACUAGUUGUCAUAAUAAUAAUAUGUUGAUAAUGAGGAAUGUGAGAUUAUAUACGGAUUAUAUUAAUCAGAUUAACAUUAUAAAACCAGGUCUGUGUUCUUGUGUUUUUAGAUGACGCAUCAUCAGAUACAGUGUACACCUCUAUGACUAACGAGGGGAUUUACAACCAUGGACAUAUGUCUUGUUGUUUUAAAUAUCCUCUUCAAUUAAGUUUAUACUAAAAGUUGUUGUUUUUUCUAAAUGUUGUCGGUCAUUGUACAAUGAAUGUGAAGAUAGCUGUGCAGUUAUGUUAAUCAGAGAAUCUCACUUGGUAAGGGAUUGUGAACAGUGUAUACUGUACGACCAUCCAGCUCGCAUUACAAAGGGUUUUGUCAAGUUCCUGGUUUUCUCAGUAUUCCUAAACUAAUAUUUUCUCCAUUGGAGAGCGUUACUGGAUUUAAGGAAAAAUACUUAGUUAAGAAACUUUCUUUAAAUUCUGUGACGCUUUCCUGUAGGAAAAUUUCAAGUUAAGGAAUAUUGAUGUUAUAACUGUGGGGGUAUACAUUAUUACCAAAGAUUAUUGCAUUGUACCACUCUAUACUUAUGGGAUUAGCUUUCAUCCCAUCCUGACAAUGUUUACAUAAAAAAUACACAAACUAUUAUAAUACAUAUUGCCCUUUUAGGAUGCUGUUUUUGAAAUAACUUAAAUAUGUGUAUUUAUGUAUGUAAGGGUGUAUCUUUAGCUCACCUGGCCCGAAGGGGCGCAAUAGGGGAAUUAAAGUAAGUCCUUUAAAUCCCUAAUAGUCAUGAAUGCCUUAAAGGAUUUUGAUGAAACUUGGUCUGGACCAUUAUUGGGCAAAGGAGAAAGAUAAAAUGUUGUAUAAACUGAGGGUGUGGUUUCCCUGGGACCAGAGGGGCAGGGCCAAAUACGGGAAAUUGAGGUGAAUCAUUUAAAUCGCUUCUAGUCCUAAACACCACAAUGGAUUUUGAUGAAAUUUUGUCUGGAGCAUAAUUAGGCAAAGGAGAUCUUUUAAACCAUUGUUGGAUGAGACAGUUUAAAAGUAGGAAAAUAUUUGAAAUAUCUGGUAUAAUUUAAAUGAGAUUAUUUUGCCAUAAUUACUGAAAUAUCCAGAAGAGCGAUGCAGGCCCUCUGGGCCUCUUUCUGCAAUUGAUAAAUUUGUAUUCACUUUCUGAGCUGUGUUUUUAUUUACAUUGAAUUACAUGUUCGUGCUAUAAUUAAUAUUUUUGUUGUUGGUUGUAAACACAUAUUAUGAUGAUGAUAUCUUAGUGUUUUAAAAACUUUUGUGUACUGACUUGACUGAACAAAAGACACUGCAAAGUAAGGGGAGAACUGAGCAGGUAUAUGAACAAGGAUUUCCCAGGUGUGGGGAUCACCCAGCAGUGAAAUCAAAACAUCUUGGAUACAUUUUCGGCAGUUGAUUUCUGAAGAUUGCUGUAGAUAUUGUGACCGCAGUAACAACAAUCUCCAUUUUGACUGGUAUCCAAGUUCUGUCACUGUGUAUACCUAUAAUUCAGUAACAACAAUCUCCAUUUUACUGGUAUCCAAGUUCUGUCACCGUGUAUACCUAUAAUUCAGUAACAACAAUCUCCAUUUUGACUGGUAUCCAAGUUCUGUCACUGUGUAUACCUAUAAUUCAGUAACAACAAUCUCCAUUUUGACUGGUAUAUAGGUUCUGUCACCGUGUAUACCUAUAAUUCAGUAACAACAAUCUCCAUUUUGACUGGUAUCCAAGUUCUGUCACUGUGUAUAUCUAUAAUUCAGUAACAACAAUCUCCAUUUUACUGGUAUCCAAGUUCUGUCACUGUGUAUACCUACAUUAUAUAUGUAUAAUUCAGUAACAACAAUCUCCAUUUUGACUGGUAUAUAGGUUCUGUCACUGUGUAUACCUAUAAUUCAGUAACACCAAUCUCCAUUUUGACUGGUAUAUAGGUUCUGUCACCGUGUAUACCUAUAAUUCAGUAACACCAAUCUCCAUUUUAACUGGUAUAUAGGUUCUGUCACUGUGUAUACCUAUAAUUCAGUAACAACAAUCUCCAUUUUACUGGUAUCCAAGUUCUGUCACUGUGUAUAUCUAUAAUUCAGUAACAACAAUCUCCAUUUUGACUGGUAUCCAAGUUCUGUCACUGUGUAUAUCUAUAAUUCAGUAACAACAAUCUCCAUUUUGACUGGUAUCCAGGUUCUGUCACUGUGUAUACCUAUAAUUCAGUAACAACAAUCUCCAUUUUAACUGGUAUAUAGGUUCUGUCACCGUGUAUACCUAUAAUUCAGUAACAACAAUCUCCAUUUUACUGGUAUCCAAGUUCUGUCACUGUGUAUAUCUAUAAUUCAGUAACAACAAUCUCCAUUUUGACUGGUAUCCAAGUUCUGUCACUGUGUAUAUCUAUAAUUCAGUAACAACAAUCUCCAUUUUGACUGGUAUCCAAGUUCUGUCACUGUGUAUACCUAUAAUUCAGUAACAACAAUCUCCAUUUUGACUGGUAUCCAAGUUCUGUCACCGUGUAUACCUAUAAUUCAGUAACAACAAUCUCCAUUUUACUGGUAUCCAAGUUCUGUCACUGUGUAUAUCUAUAAUUCAGUAACAACAAUCUCCAUUUUGACUGGUAUCCAAGUUCUGUCACUGUGUAUAUCUAUAAUUCAGUAACAACAAUCUCCAUUUUGACUGGUAUCCAGGUUCUGUCACUGUGUAUACCUAUAAUUCAGUAACAACAAUCUCCAUUUUGACUGGUAUCCAGGUUCUGUCACUGUGUAUACCUGUAAUUCAGAGCAAAGGUGCACACUGCUAAAGUUUGGUCAAUGUGAAUGUAAUUCACUUAAUCUUACCAAGUCCUAGCAGACCAAAUAUAACUGUUGCUUGAUUUUGUGAGUUUGAUAUUAAGGAGAAAAUUUCUUGUCCAAGGAUUUAUUACAAAUAAAAGUUAGUAAACAACAGAUUUGUGUUACAUUUUAUAAAGUACUGUCAGUUUUCAGAUGUCUUGAUCAAAAUUGUUAAAAUCGUUGAAUUAAUCAUCAGUGAAAUACUAAUUGAUCUCAAGAACACUGUUUCAUACUGACAAACAUGCAAAGGUUCUUUUUUCUCACCAUUUCCAUGUGAACGUGUCAAAAGUUGUAAACUGUAACUGUAUUUAUACAGAAUAGAUACAUUUUGUAUAAUUCCACAAUGCAAACUAAUGAAUAAUUAAAAAAAUUAUAAAAUA